AAUAAAAUAAGCUAAUUUAAGCUGUUGGGUUCAUACCCCAGAAAUGAGUUGUCUCUUUUGUUA
rnacentral:tRNA from 1 species